UUGAAGGCAGAGGUGACGCGCGUGUGACUUUUGGACCGAGGCUUUCAGGAGCAACAGUGAUACCUGCAUCUUCUCUCUGUCAACUGAGUAUGGACAUCAAAAACAUGAGACUCAGUUGGAGACAGAGGUGACUCGUGUGUGACUUUUGGACUGAGGCUUUCAGAAGCAGCAGUAAUAUCUGUACCGUCUCUCUGUCAUCUGAAUACCGGCACCAUAAACAUAAGCUGAGUGCAGCUUGGAGAUGGGCUGAUGCUCAUGCAGCUGAAAGCUGAUCGAUCCAUUCUGAAGCGCUUCAUGACCCCAUCCGCACACUGAGAGCCUGGCCUGGGUCAGAAGAGGUGCUGGUGAGGCCUGGGCUUCAGAGA